CCUGUGGUUUCUGUGGUCUGAACUCCAGGAAAUGAAGGCGGACAUCUUGGAUUCACACAGCCUUGUAGCUGUCAAUCAGAGAGGAACCUGCAGCGUUCAAAGACCUGUCAGGAAAUAUACAUUUGAAUUAUAAUUCACUCAAGGUCAUCACAAAGUCUUAGUCUGGUGACUAAGACUCUGAGUCAUCUGAAGCUUUUGUUUUUCGCACUAAUGCUCUUAUUGUUUUUACCCAUGAUUCACUUCUCGGUGCACUUUGGUGAUUUGGAAAACUAAAAUGAAUAAGAAACUAAAACAAUGCUCUUUUCAUUACAGUGUUUGAACCAAAUAGGUCAACCUGAUUAUGGCCUGAAAAUAAAUAUUUUCCAUCCCUCAGGACAUUGUCAACAGCCCAGACCUGGACAGGUUAGACUGUUAUUAGCUCUUAAUUAAGGUGCAGACCUGUUUGUCGAAAACAACAAGGAGCUCAGAUGAGUGACAGUGCGACCAUAUUUGGGACAGAGUAAUUAAUUGAAUGUAUUCAUUCACAGCCUUCAUAUUUACUCAGGGAUGUUUUACGUUGGCUUCACUAACAAUGACAGAUCACACUGUGGACCAGUCUUUAGUGAUGACCUGGUGAACUCUCCAGGAUGUAACCCCCUCCUUUGCUCGAUGACUGAUGACUGAAGAUGACUGCUGGGAUUGGCUCCACCCCCCACGUUCAUGAAGAGCUCUGAGAGUUCACCAAGAUUAUAAAAAAAUGACGGACUAUUUAACAUGUACCAUUCUAUGGUUUGACGUCUUACAUUAAGCAGAAUUAUUCAACACAAGGACUCCCAAAGUGUGGGGCGUGUACCCCGAGUGUGAGGAAGCUCCGUGAGGUAAAAACAAUGUGAUGGCGGCUUAGAGUGGUGGUUUUUAAGUGGGAUUUUACCACACAAUAAGGAUGUGAAAAUAAACAUUUCUUUAAUCAAAAGUUGACUUUUUAAUGUAUAAAUAAAUGCAGGCCAUAUAUGUGUGUGUUAUAUGUGUGCUGUGUGCUGUCAUUUGAGCAUGAUUACACAUGAUUACAUUCUGCAUUUAUAGGAAUGCUUGUUGUGUUUAUUUUUUUUUUUCUCUCAAAAGUGUCGGGAUUUGAGGGUGUGUCGACCCAGUUGGGAUGUAGAACUUUUGCGAGUUGUUGGUUUAGUACACUGUCUUUUGAAGCAAUGGGUGUAAAAUGUUGAACAUUACUUAACACCUGAAAGUAGAAUUCAAGAUUUUUGUUUAAUUUCCCAUCUUGUCUGGAAGAAAUCGGUGAAGAAUCAUUGCAAUUUUAACAACUUUUUUAUUUUGUAAGAGUUACUGCCUUUUAUAUAAAGUACAUAUAUUUCAGUGGUGUUUCUUUUUAUAUUAUUUAAAUCUGUCACCUAACAACCUAAUAAGGUUCAAAAUGACAUGCCAUUUAAAGUAUUUUGUUUCAAUACUUAUUUGUGCGUCAAAGUGAAUUAUUUAUGCUCACGCUUGUGUAAGCAAACCCCUGUGUUUCACCUUGCAUGUAGGACCGUCAUCAUGACAAUAAUCGAAAAUAGGUUGCAGAGCUGUAACAGCACUUGCGUACG